rnacentral:rRNA from 1 species
AACGAACGCUGGCGGCGCGCUUAACACAUGCAAGUCGAACGAGAAGGCGGAGCAAUCCGCUGGUACAGUGGCGAACGGGUGAGGAAUACAUGGGUAACCUACCCUCGAGUGGGGGAUAACCCGCCGAAAGGCGGGCUAAUACCGCGUACGCUUCCGGUCUUGCGGGAUCGGAAGGAAAGCUGUCCCGAGGGGAUGGCGCUCAAGGAUGGGCUCAUGUCCUAUCAGCUGGUUGGUAGGGUAACGGCCUACCAAGGCAUCGACGGGUAGCUGGUCUGAGAGGACGAUCAGCCACACUGGCACUACGACACGGGCCAGACUCCUACGGGAGGCAGCAGUGAGGAAUAUUGCGCAAUGGGCGACAGCCUGACGCAGCGACGCCGCGUGGGGGAUGAAGGUCUUCGGAUUGUAAACCCCUGUUGCUCGGGACGAACAACCCUUUUCGAGGGGUCUGACGGUACCGGGUGAGGAAGCACCGGCUAACUCCGUGCCAGCCGCCGCGGUAAUAC